rnacentral:rRNA from 1 species
GUGGCGUCGAUGCCCCCGUUUUUUGAUGGGUUCUAUUCCCAAACCGUGUAUACAUACCUUUGUUGCUUUGGCAGGCCGCCUUCGGGCGUUGGCUCACGUUGACCGCGCCUGCCAGAGGACCCAAACUCGUUUGUUUAGUGAUGUCUGAGUACUAUAUAAUAGUUAAAACUUUCAACAACGGAUCUCUUGGUUCUGGCAUCGAUGAAGAACGCAGCGAAAUGCGAUAAGUAAUGUGAAUUGCAGAAUUCAGUGAAUCAUCGAAUCUUUGAACGCACAUUGCGCCCCUUGGUAUUCCGAGGGGCAUGCCUGUUCGAGCGUCAUUAUGACCACUCAAGCCUAGCUUGGUAUUGGGGUUCGCGGUCUCGCGGCCCUUAAAAUCAGUGGCGGUGCCAUCUGGCUCUAAGCGUAGUAAUCUAUCUCGCUAUUGGGUCCGGUGGUUGCUUGCCAACAACCCCCAACUUCUAAGGUUGACCUCGGAUCAGGUAGGGAUACCCGCUGAACUUAAGCAUAUCAAUAAGCGGAGGAAGA